rnacentral:rRNA from 1 species
GAUGAACGCUGGCGGCGUGCCUAAUACAUGCAAGUCGAGCGAACAGACGAGGAGCUUGCUCCUCUGACGUUAGCGGCGGACGGGUGAGUAACACGUGGAUAACCUACCUAUAAGACUGGGAUAACUUCGGGAAACCGGAGCUAAUACCGGAUAAUAUAUUGAACCGCAUGGUUCAAUAGUGAAAGACGGUUUUGCUGUCACUUAUAGAUGGAUCCGCGCCGCAUUAGCUAGUUGGUAAGGUAACGGCUUACCAAGGCAACGAUGCGUAGCCGACCUGAGAGGGUGAUCGGCCACACGGGAACUUAGACACGGUCAAGAGGCCUACGGGAGGCAGCAGUAGGGAAUCGUCCGCAAUGGGCGAAAGCCUGACGGAGCAACGCCGCGUGAGUGAUGAAGGUCUUCGGAUCGUAAAACUCUGUUAUUAGGGAAGAACAAAUGUGUAAGUAACUAUGCACGUCUUGACGGUACCUAAUCAGAAAGCCACGGCUAACUACGUG